ACUUGGAAGCUCAAAGACCCAAAUGUAAAUGGAAUCGGAGCACCGGCGGUCGGGGUUGGCCCGGGAGACGACGGUGUGCUGAUUUUUUCCGAGGUGGUGAAGUUUAACAAGAAGAAUAGAGCAACGGUGGUGUAUGAUGCGGAAACUGUAUCUACAUAUUCAUAUGCUGGAUCAACAUGGAUUGGGUAUGAUGAUACCGUGUCCACCACUACUAAAAUAGGAUUUGCUAAGGCUCAUGGGCUUCGUGGGUAUUUUUUUUGGGCCAUUAGCUUUGAUGAUGAGUGGGAAAUCUCAACACAAGCUUCAAGGGCAUGGACUAUUUGAUGAAUUAUAUUGAAGAUUGGGAGAUGGUAUAAUUUCAAGUUUCCUAAGGGUUGAUUAGAGAUUAAUUCAAGCAAAUGGUUAUGAAUGGAAAUUUAAAUAUCAUCUUUUUUUUUUUUUU
rnacentral:misc_RNA from 1 species